rnacentral:rRNA from 1 species
UGGGGAAUAUUGGACAAUGGGCGCAAGCCUGAUCCAGCAAUGCCGCGUGUGUGAAGAAGGCCCUUCGGGUUGUAAAGCACUUUUAUCAGGAGCGAAACGCUGUCGGCUAAUACCCGGCGGAACCUGACGGUACCUGAGGAAUAAGCACCGGCUAACUUCGUGCCAGCAGCCGCGGUAAUACGAAGGGUGCAAGCGUUAAUCGGAAUUACUGGGCGUAAAGCGUGCGUAGGCGGUUUCUUAAGUCUGCUGUGAAAUUCCCCGGGCUCAACCUGGGAAUGGCAGUGGAUACUGGGAGGCUAGAGUGUGUCAGAGGGUGGUGGAAUUCCCGGUGUAGCGGUGAAAUGCGUAGAGAUCGGGAGGAACA